rnacentral:rRNA from 1 species
GGGCCCGCACAAGCGGUGGAGUAUGUGGUUUAAUUCGAUGCAACGCGAGGAACCUUACCAGGGCUUAAAUGUAAGUUGCAUGGAUCAGAGAUGAUCCUUUCUUCGGACUACUUACAAGGUGCUGCAUGGUUGUCGUCAGCUCGUGCCGUGAGGUGUCAGGUUAAGUCCUAUAACGAGCGCAACCCCUAUCGUUAGUUGCCAGCAAAUAAAGUUGGGUACUCUAGCGAGACUGCCGGUGCAAACCGAGAGGAAGGUGGGGAUGACGUCAAAUCAUCACGGCCCUUACGUCCUGGGCUACACACGUGCUACAAUGGCCGGUACAGAGAGCAGCCACCACGCGAGUGGGAGCGAAUCUUCAAAGCCGGUCUCAGUUCGGAUCGCAGUCUGCAACUCGACUGCGUGAAGCUGGAAUCGCUAGUAAUCGC